rnacentral:rRNA from 1 species
UACGUAGGGCGCAAGCGUUGUCCGGAAUUAUUGGGCGUAAAGAGCUCGUAGGCGGCUUGUCACGUCGGGUGUGAAAGCCCGGGGCUUAACCCCGGGUCUGCAUUCGAUACGGGCAGGCUAGAGUGUGGUAGGGGAGAUCGGAAUUCCUGGUGUAGCGGUGAAAUGCGCAGAUAUCAGGAGGAACACCGGUGGCGAAGGCGGCUCUCUGGGGUAUUUCUGACGCUGAGGCACGAAAGCCAGGGGAGCGAACGGG